AUUGAACGCUGGCGGCAUGCCUAACACAUGCAAGUCGAACGGAAACGAUGGAAGCUUGCUUCCAGGCGUCGAGUGGCGGACGGGUGAGUAAUGCUUAGGAAUCUGCCCAUUAGUGGGGGACAACUCGGGGAAACUCGAGCUAAUACCGCAUACGCCCUACGGGGGAAAGCGGGGGAGUCUUCGGACCUCGCGCUAAUGGAUGAGCCUAAGUCGGAUUAGCUUGUUGGUGGGGUAAAGGCCUACCAAGGCGACGAUCCGUAGCUGGUCUGAGAGGACGAUCAGCCACACUGGGACUGAGACACGGCCCAGACUCCUACGGGAGGCAGCAGUGGGGAAUAUUGGACAAUGGGGGAAACCCUGAUCCAGCAAUGCCGCGUGUGUGAAGAAGGCCUGCGGGUUGUAAAGCACUUUCAGUAGAGAAGAAAAGCCUGCGGUUAAUAACCGCGAGUCUUGACGUAACCUACAGAAGAAGCACCGGCUAACUCCGUGCCAGCAGCCGCGGU
rnacentral:rRNA from 1 species